GAUGAACGCUGGCGGCGUGCCUAAUACAUGCAAGUCGAGCGAACGGACGAGAAGCUUGCUUCUCUGAUGUUAGCGGCGGACGGGUGAGUAACACGUGGAUAACCUACCUAUAAGACUGGGAUAACUUCGGGAAACCGGAGCUAAUACCGGAUAAUAUUUUGAACCGCAUGGUUCAAAAGUAAAAGACGGUCUUGCUGUCACUUAUAGAUGGAUCCGCGCUGCAUUAGCUAGUUGGUAAGGCAACGGCUUACCAAGGCAACGAUGCAUAGCCGACCUGAGAGGGUGAUCGGCCACACUGGAACUGAGACACGGUCCAGACUCCUACGGGAGGCAGCAGUAGGGAAUCUUCCGCAAUGGGCGAAAGCCUGACGGAGCAACGCCGCGUGAGUGAUGAAGGUCUUCGGAUCGUAAAACUCUGUUAUUAGGGAAGAACAUAUGUGUAAGUAACUGUGCACAUCUUGACGGUACCUAAUCAGAAAGCCACGGCUAACUACGUG
rnacentral:rRNA from 1 species